AUAGACCAAUCAGUUGUCAGUGUGGGCGGGUUUUCAUUUGUUUUUCAUCCACUUAGUCUUAAAAUCUCUUAAGUAGCGUUAUAGUGGCGGAGAAUCACCAAAUGAAAGAAAAAUAGAAAACUAACUUCAGCUAUAAAUCACCUGCAGCAGAUUGGUUCUGAUACGUCUGUCUGUGCACUGCUUGGCCACUUCCUUGGCCAGUCUCGUCACUUCAUCUGAGGCCUUGGCUAUGUCCUUGGCACACUGAAUCAGUGCCCGCUUGUUCCCGCUGCCACCACGCACCAGUCGGGACAUUUCAGCCAUCAACAGAGCCAUUCGCUUUGCUGCUGCGAUGAUGUCGUUGCCCUGUCAAGAGGCGGGAAAAAAGGGACCAAGAUGAAGAUGUGGGAGAAAAAAAAAGUUUAAGGCUGUCCUGAAGCUGUGCAGCCGUAGCACGAGCGUGAGGAGCCUCGGCCUCCCCUCUGCUGGCCAUGUCUGCCAACGAUGCCAUCAGAGCCUCUGUUCGAUCACAGCGUCCAAUCAUGUCCUGUCGAUACGGGCCCAGCAGGCCCCCUGCCAAGCGCUUCCCUUCUCCAACCAUGCCUCUGAUUGCUGCCUGACCUGGAGAGAGACACAGCAGAGGUCACAGUCUGGCCCUUGUGGUAAACUUUAAAUCCAAGGGUUGUUCACCCAGCGCAGGGCCUGCUCCAUCUUGCCCUCCAAGGUCACAGCAGGUUUGGCUGGUCUCAUGUUGGCCACGGCUCGGUUGGUUUUGGACUGCAGGGUCAGCAGUGCUGCCCCAAUCUGCUUUGCCAGCGCUCGGGCCUCUGGACUGUCACCUUUGCCCCUGUGGCAGAUGAAGAUAACAUCCAGGUUUGAAACUGGUUAUACCUUAUUGGCCCAGGCAUCUUCAUCCCAGGUGGUCAGCUGUAACACUCUGAUAAUCUCGCUGAUCUCAGCGCUCAUCUUUUCAAAGGUGAAUCUUCGGUUCCUCUCGGCCUCCUCCACACCUGCACCGCGGCUGCUCUUGGUGGCAACGAAAAUCUUUAUAGCUGGACAAAGAAAAAAACACAGGCCGACGGUUGGCGUCAAUGUUUUCACCAACGUGUCCCAAACGUCAACUCUUCACGAGCGACUGAUCCUGUACAAUGACGGCGUCACUCAAGUAGUGACUGGAGCUGAGGAGAGGCUGUUGAGGAGGAGAUGGAGGAAGAGGAGGAGGAGAAGAAGGAGGAGAGCCGGGGCCUUGGAACGUGAACUAUGAAGCUUGGCAAAGUCUGGUCAGAAGACACCAGGGACACUUCCCCUCCUUCGCAGGGUGCCGGCGUCUGUGCCUCCAUCGCCCCAGCUCACCACACCAAACAGAAACAUCCUGCCUGACACAUCACACACCAGCGGCCCACCAGAGUCACCCUGGGUAGAGAGGACAUGACGCAUAAAGUACAGCACCAACAAACAGCCAUGGCGUCCCUAGUCCAGUCCUGGCUCCCAGCACAGAUCAUGUUGUUGGUGAGGUUAUAAUCUGAUUCUCUUGUGCAGUCAAUCCGGGAGAUCAGACUCACCUCGGCCUCUUUCAGGUGCUUGGAGUUAGCCCAUGCCGCUGCAGAUGACACAGAGUCGGAGGGAGCUGAGUGUUGGCUGGAGGAAGACACACUGUCCUCACAGAAGCUGACUUCACGGCACAUUUUCCAUCUUCACCACUGAUUUUCAACAAAGCUGGAAUGAAAAAAAAAAGAUGAUUUUAGUCUAGGGGAGCUACACAG